rnacentral:tRNA from 1 species
GGAUUGUGACUCAGUGGUAGAGUGCUUGCCUCGCAUGCAUGAGGCCCUGGGUUCAAUCCUCAGCACCA